rnacentral:lncRNA from 1 species
CUUCUCUUCCGGGAGUCCAGGUCGCUACCGGUGACUUCACCGGAGCGGAUAAGGAAAUCACCAGCUUCCCGCAUGCCAGAGAUGUUGCCCCAAAUGCAGCCAGCUUUGGGGCGCUUCGAGGCUUGCACCCUGAACACCUCUUGCGCACCCGCGUCUGCAGACAACCGGGAGGUGUUGCUGACCUUUCGGCUACCGGCUCCCGCCAAGGCGCGCGCCAGGCUGGGGACCCCCGGGGGCCCCGCGAGCUAUCUUCUCCGGACUUGAGCCUCUGCGCGCUGUCCUUCCAUUCCCCCGACCCCCGGCGUUCCCUGCCCCGCGCGCUACCUGAUCUGCACCCCAGCUCCGCCCCUUGCGGGUCGCGCUUCUGGAGCUGGGUGGCUGCCGCUGUCGCCUCCGGGUCCCGUCCCGCCCAGCUGGUGACCCCCACCUCCAUCACCUGCCCAGUGUUCCGGCACCGCUCCGCGGUGUCCCCACGUCGCUCUCUCCUCCCGUCGCUAGUGGGAACUUCAGGUCUGACACCCCGGCACCCACUUCUUCGAGGUCGGAUUUGUGAGAAGGCAAAAGAGGAGGAAGGGACCUCGCAUAGAGCCGCAUAGAGCGGCGUCGGAUGAAGCGAGCUGAUGAAGUGAGAGCGUAGACCGACUGUGGGAACUGAGGAUCAGAGGACUGGCAGUUGGCAGGUCUCGUGUAUGGAUGUCCAGUAUCAAAGCCUGCAGCCAGAGCACGGAGGACCUAUCCCGAGGAGAAAUAACACACCAAAAGUGGUCUACGAAAUGACUGGCAACAUGAUAUGUGUCAGCUACAAGGGUAGGCCGCAGGUCCCCAACAUACAACUGGCAGUAGAAAGGAAAAUGUGUUAAAAGAGUUUUGUUAAGAUAUAUUUUGUGGGCUGGAGAGAUGGCUCAGUGGUUAAGAGCACCGACUGCUCUUCCCAAGGUCCUGAGUUCAAAUCCCAGCAACCACAUGGUGGCUCACAACCAUCUGAAACGAGUCUGAUGCCCUCUUCUGGUGUGUCUGAAGAUAGCGAC